GCCGUGUAGCCGCCAGUCCCUCAACCCAUGCACCCAGCCGUCGGACAUUGGAAGACUCAUAUAUUGAGGAACAAACAUCAUCCCAGGCAGUUGAGGGAAUGACCCAUGGCGAAGAGGAGGGGGCUUCAGGCAUGGCUGUCCUAAUAAAGCAUAAUCAUGGAGGAAACGAAGAGGCUCCUAUUGAGAACAACAGAUGAUUUAAAAAGUACAAUGGAAGAGCACAUGGGGCGUAUGACAAGGAGGAUGGAGG